GAUGAACGCUGGCGGCGUGCCUAAUACAUGCAAGUCGAACGGGGAGCAGCAAUGCUCUUAGUGGCGAACGGGUGAGUAACGCGUUGGUGACCUGCCCUGGAGUGUGGGAUAACAGGCCGAAAGGCUUGCUAAUACCGCAUGGUCAACUGGGAGAUUAGAAGCCUGGUUGUAAAGGAUGAUACUCGUAAGAGUGCAUUCGCUCUGGGAGGGGCCUGCGUCCCAUCAGCUAGUUGGUAAGGUAACGGCUUACCAAGGCGAUGACGGGUAGGGGACCUGAGAGGGUGACCCCCCACAAUGGAACUGAAACACGGUCCAUACACCUACGGGUGGCAG
rnacentral:rRNA from 1 species